AAACUUUCAACAACGGAUCUCUUGGCUCUCGCAUCGAUGAAGAACGCAGCGAAAUGCGAUACGUAAUGUGAAUUGCAGAAUUCCGUGAAUCAUCGAAUCUUUGAAUACAAAUUGUACUUUUCAGUAAUCUGGAAAGUAUGCUUGGUUGAGGGUCAUUA
rnacentral:rRNA from 1 species